CUUGCAUACUGUAUGGUGUCUUUUUCCACUUUUCUGCAUGACGGUCGAAUGGUUUCGUUUUGGAGUUACCAGCACCCUGCGGUGACUAGUGGUGUAAAGGUGAUAUGGAGACAUGUUAAGUGCAGUGAACAGCACCGCACCCCACCCAGGAAACACAACUAAAUCCCGCAUGUAAUAUGGAGUGGGAGAGAAAUCUCAAGCGCCGUGCGUUAGAAUCUUAUCAAAACACUACGGUUCCAAAGGAAAAGGAAUAAAAUGAGAAGAAAGAAAGAAAGAAAGAAGAAGAAGAAGAUUGACUCACCAGACAUUUUUGGCGUGAAGAGCAGCAGGACCCAGUGAAACACCCCAAAGCGCCUGUUCUUGGCUCUAUUAUAUGGGCAAGAACGAAAUAUUGAUAAAAGUGCCACAAAGUCUCAAUCUAUCACCUUCACAACACUCUCACUAUAUACAAUUAUGCAGUAAUAUAGCCAGGGAAGCAUUAGUUUGAGUUUUUCUGCCCUCAUCCCUACUAUUUAAAGUCCCAAGAACUCAAUGAUUUGACAAUCAUUUGAUUGCGCGAUACUUUCAAUUUGAAUAUUCAAAGACUUCGCAAAAAUACUUAUAUCUUAGCUAUAUUCGCCAUCAGAGCGCAUGUAAGAGUGUCCACUUUAAUAGAAUAUUACAUCAUUUCACAAUUUGACACAAAAAUAAAAAUAUAUUUUUGACAUUUUAUCACCCUUUUGAUAUUGAUGCCAAGAGGCUGGCUGUGAAGCUCUCUUUGCACUUUACAGUGUCAUUUAACGAGCAAAUGUCACUUCAAACAUCACACAACACUAUACAUAUAUCAUACAGUGAAAAUGUAUGUUAAAAAAAAAUAAGAAAUUACAUAUUCUGUGGCUUGACUGUAGACCAUUUUUACAGAAAUGUAGACAUGGUGGGCGUGGCAUAUAGUGGCAGCCAUUUUGACCAUCAGAGCAUGGAGAGCUUGUGCUCUGGCAUGAACUUAACACUUGUUAACACUUCUAGAAUGAAUAUUAUUGUAGUAAUGAUCAUAUGUAACUGAAUUCUGGCAAAUCUGCAAGUAUUUUGCAGACAUUUUUUGUAAUCUUUAUUCCAUAUAACAAAUAUUAAAUAAAUAAAUAAAUAAAAAGUCGAAUGUUGUUGCAAUACAGAUAAUAUCAUAUGAUAUUUUGUUACACUAUUUAUAUUUUACAUACUGUAGGAUUGUGAAAAUUAAAGAAAGAGAACGUAAAAAAAUAAAAAUAAUAAUAAUAAAAAAUGUCCAUAGUUCAUCCUAGUAUUUUUGAAAUGAUUAUUUUUGUAUUGUUCUGCAAUGAAAAGUCCAUUAGAGUCUAAAGCUUUCCACAUGAACCCUUAUAUCAUAUGUUAAUAUUAUCCAAUUAAUUAACUUUUAAUUAAGAUUUUCAAUAUAAGACCAAACAUUUCAAACUUAAAUGUGUACAAAAAAUUUUAUAAUUUAUAUAUGAACAUUUACUAUGUGUGUGUUUUUUUUUUAGUUUUUUUUUUUUACGUUUGUCGUUUUAUUGUUUUAUUUGAUUCAUAUUUUGUAAUUAUUUGUCUUGGACCGUGAUUUAUCUUUAUAAGCAGCGCGGAUGCCAGACAUUUGCGUAUCACACUUUUUAUGUUUUGUGCACAUGAACCGCACAUAUAUAUAUAUAUAUAU